CCCGAACACAUUCCCGGAUCCGAGAGAGACGCUGCUGCAACCGGCGUCCUCAAAUUCCCUCGAGACGGAAGAAACGCUUCUUCACCAAGUCGACUCUGCUGUUCUCUCCGCCACGCAGCUGAGAGCCAGCUGCUGUGCUUUUCGCCGACCGUGCGAGAACGGCCACCAUCUGCAUCCGAGCCCAGGACAAAGCCGGACAUAACGACGGAUUACACACAAACCCUGCUCGCUUUCUGAAGCGACCAAGACUCCAUGCUGAAGAUAAACACCAACCAACAGGUUCUCAGUGUGAAAGCACAGCCAAGGCUGACAUCGGGCUGAUGGUCAGUGAAUCCGGGAGAAUCAGCCCUGAAGACCAUGAAAACAUGAAGUCCUUUCUAACUAAGAUAGUCAGCUACUUCAACAUCGGCCCUGACAAAGUCCAGAUCGGUCUGGUUCAGAACAGUGAAAACCCAAAGAUUGAAUGGCAGCUGAACACCCACCAGACCAAACAAUCCCUGCUGGAGGCCAUAAACCACCUGCCACACAGAAGAAGAGACGACUCAGGUGAUUUAACAGCAGGCUGUCUGAUCCACACCAGCUUUACACUGUGAGGGACUGAGGCAGAGACUCUGAUUAGAUCCAAAUAUAUUUACUUUCUGUAUUUAGGUCUGUCAGCGGUGGAAAGAGAAGCUGUUAGUGAUCCGUAUUUUAUAUCUUAAAGUAUUUAUAGUAGGAUUUAUUGUAUAUAUUGAAUA